AGCGGAGUCGACUCUCUCAGAGAAUUCCAGAAGACUUGUUUUUCGGAGAUAUAACGGCGGAGUCGUCCCCAAGGCAGCGGAGUCGUCCCCAUGCAAAAAAGCGCAAACAAGCCGAGACGUCCCUGUAAAGUGCCGAGGCGACCCUCUCAGAAAAACAGAAAAACAAGGAUUCAAACCGUUCAUCAUCGGAGUCGUCCCCGUAAAGCGCCAAGUCGACCCCAAACAACGUCAAAAGUAAAAUCUUACAGCCGAGACGUCUCGCGUUGAAGCGGAGACGUCUCCGAAGCGCCUGGGACGCGACUGACAACUUUUUCAGGUUUGGUUUGAAUUUCAAACUCCCUUAACUUUAUCUCUAACGGCUAUAUUUGCUUUUUGGGCUAUAAAAGAGAGCUCUUAAGUGCUUUCCAACAACUUCUUACAAACCCAACACAAGAUCAUUCAAGAGAGAAGAAAGAAAAAGAGGUUCAAGGGAGUUAGUGCAUUUAAGUGAAGAAAUCAAGUGCCUUCAAGCUUCCCAAGUGAUUUCGUGCUCAACUACUCUCUUCCGCUAGGCAUUCAAAGCUCA
rnacentral:lncRNA from 1 species